UCGGAGGAUCCGGAUUGGACUUGAGAAGCAAAGCUAGGACUUUAAAUGGACCGGUUUCUGAUCCUGCCAAGCUUCCGAAGUGGAACUACGACGGCUCCAGCACCAGCCAGGCUCCCGGUGACAACGGUGAAGUCAUCCUUUCCGCUGAGUGAUUUCAAAAUUUUCAGGAUUGGAAUCUUUGGUUAAGAGAAAAUAAAAAUUUAACUUUAGAUUCCAUUGAUAAGCUGUGUUUGUUGUUUUUUAAGUCCUCAAGCGAUAUUCAAGGAUCCCUUCAGACGAGGAAACGACAUCCUGGUGUCGAAUUCUGCCACAUUAUGUAUUUAUUCCUUUUUAAUCCCCGUGAAUUUCGGUAGGAUAAUAGUGAAUUGGUCAAGAGCUAUUAACGUCUUUCUGUCUAAUAAAAUAAAAGGUGAUGUGCAAUGCUUACAGGCCAGCUGGCGAACCCAUCCCCACCAAUAAGAGAUACAAUGCUGCCAAGGUAUUCAGCCACCCUGAUGUCCUCACUGAGGAGCCAAGAGACCCUAUUACUGCGGAAUAGGAGCUGACAAAGCCUUUGGUCAGGAUAUUGUGGAUGCACACUACAAAGCUUGUCUCUACGCAGAAAUUAACAUUAGUGGAGUUAACGGCGAAGUUAUGCCCGGCCAAGUAUUGGGAAUUCCAAGUCGGUCGUGUUGUUGGAAUUUCUGCAGGUGAUCAAUUAUGGAAGGCUAGGUUCAUUCUUGAGAGGAUCACCGAGAUUGCAGGAGUUGUACUUUCCUUUGAUCCAAAACCUAUUGAGGGUGACUGGAAUGGAGCUGGUGCGCAUACUAACUACGGGUAUAUUGUCACGGGCUCAGGUUGGGAGCCGUGAUAUGGC